rnacentral:lncRNA from 1 species
CGGAGGAAAAUGAUUGUAUAUCACAAAGCAUCAGCAUCAAGUUAAGCUGGAGAGAAUCUCAACAGACAACAGAAAUGAAAUUUCAUAUGCAAAGCUACUUGGUAUAACUCUAUGAAACCGAAGACAUAGUUGAAGGCUAUCAACAUACAGGCAUAACAUUUAUCGCCUCCCCAGAGAAUUAAACAGUCGUAUAUCUUUCCUUUAAUCAAUUCUUCACCAUUUCGUUUCUAUGUCCACUCUCUAAAACUCAAGGUCUAAGAUGCAGACAGCUCCAGCAGAAGAAACACCACCUUCUGAAUCUUCAAAUCAAUCUCAGAGAGUCCUACUGCGCUUAAGAGAGAGAGAGAGAGAGAGAGAGAGAGAGAGAGAGAGAGAGAGAGAGAGAGAGAGAGAGAGAGAGAGAGAGAGAGAGAGAGAGAGAGAGAGAGAGAGAGAGAGAGAGAGNNNNNNNNNNNNNNNNNNNNGAGAGAGAGAGAGAGGAAAUGGUGGACGAAGAAGAAUCAGAGCUAAACGAGAAGCACAAGAUUGAUAAUGCCAAGUGGUUCUGGCGAAACCCAAUUCAGCUGGUU